rnacentral:rRNA from 1 species
AACGAACGCUGGCGGCAGGCCUAACACAUGCAAGUCGAGCGGGGGAGCAAUCCCUAGCGGCGGACGGGUGAGUAACGCGUGGGAACGUACCCUUUGCUUCGGAAUAGCCCCGGGAAACUGGGAGUAAUACCGGAUGUGCCCUACGGGGGAAAGAAUUUCGGCAAAGGAUCGGCCCGCGUUGGAUUAGGUAGUUGGUGGGGUAAUGGCCUACCAAGCCGACGAUCCAUAGCUGGUUUGAGAGGAUGAUCAGCCACACUGGGACUGAGACACGGCCCAGACUCCUACGGGAGGCAGCAGUGGGGAAUCUUAGACAAUGGGCGCAAGCCUGAUCUAGCCAUGCCGCGUGAGCGAUGAAGGCCUUAGGGUUGUAAAGCUCUUUCGUGGGGGAAGAUAAUGACGGUACCCCAAGAAGAAGCCCCGGCUAAACUCCGUGCCAGCAGCCGCGGUAAU